rnacentral:tRNA from 1 species
AUAAAAGAUAAGCUAUUUAAGCUUGUAGGCUCAUACCCUAUGUAUGGUUCUUUCCUCUUUUAUA